rnacentral:rRNA from 1 species
UGUUACAAUGGCAGGUACAGAGGGAUGCUACCGGGCGACCGGAUGCGGAUCUCGAAAGCCUGUCCCAGUUCGGACUGGAGUCUGCAACCCGACUCCACGAAGUUGGAUUCGCUAGUAAUCGCGCAUCAGCCAUGGCGCGGUGAAUACGUUCCCGGGCCUUGUACACACCGCCCGUCAAGCCAUGGGAGCCGGGGGCGCCUGAAGUCCGGGACCGCGAGGACCGGCCUAGGGCGAAACUGGUAAACUGGGGCUAAGUCGUAACAAGGUACC